rnacentral:rRNA from 1 species
CAAUAGCGUAUAUUAAAGUUGUUGCGGUUAAAAAGCUCGUAGUUGGAUUUCUGCUGAGAACGACCGGUCCGCCCUCUGGGUGUGUAUCUGGCUCUUUCUUGGCAUCUUCUUGGUGAACGUUGCUGCACUUGACUGUGUGGAGCGCUACCCAGGACUUUUACUUUGAGGAAAUUAGAGUGUUUCAAGCAGGCAUACGCCUUGAAUACAUUAGCAUGGAAUAAUAAGAUAGGACCUCGGUUCUAUUUUGUUGGUUUCUAGAGCUGAGGUAAUGAUUAAUAGGGAUAGUUGGGGGCAUUCGUAUUUAACUGUCAGAGGUGAAAUUCUUGGAUUCGUUAAAGACGGACUACUGCGAAAGCAUUUGCCAAGGAUGUUUUCAUUGA